CAUGAUCAGAUUUCUUGGCAACUGGUAAAUUUUGUUGACGGAUUAUUGUCAUUCUGUACUCUGGAUCUAGUUCCUGGCAUCAGUCCUGCUCAAUGAGUACUUGAAAUCAACUGUCAUUUUUUUGUGAAUUCAUCAAAUUACAUAGGUGUUCAUUGUCCUUAAUAUUGAUGCCAUAAAAGAAGCACAGGUAUGAAAAAUUCCAGCGUGCAGACAAAUUGUAUUGCAUGUGUAACGAUUUUAUGUCAUGAAUUGACCCUCAACUCUAUCUAAAAAGCAGCAUGGUUUGUAAGUUUAGCCUGAUUGCAAGUAAUAGAGCAAUACAUAGACAUGAAGUGGAAAUAUUUGGUAAAGUGAAAUGCAGCAACAGAAAACAUAAGCUGGGAAUAGUGGAAUACACAAGAAAUAAUUGAAAAGACAGUCUCUUUGAGUAUGUUCAGUGAUUUGCUCGUGUAUUCAGUGGGACGGUAAUAGUUGGCUUUUAUUUUUAAUUUACCCUAGCCUUCUGUCAUGAUCGCAACUACAGAGCAACUGUAGGAAUGCAAAAGUAAACCAUGGGUGCUCUAGUCCUUUUCUUAUAAAUAGUUUUAUCAAAUCAUUUUUCUUUUUUUAAUACUGACUCUCUUUAACUUUUUUCUCCAUCCGUUUUGCUAGAAAUGUAAUGCUAUAUGACUUCCGCCCAUGACAGGAGCUUGCCAACCAGCUAGCUGGUCGACAUUCUGUUAACGGCUAAACCAUUAAUUUCCUGUUAUAUCUCUGUAUUCUUUUUGCCUUUUCAAUCUCCUUUUAUCUUUUUUCUCCCCUUAAGACUUUCUUUGACAUGGAAUAGUGUUGUGCCAACCUUUUCUAGUCCUUCCUUUUCCUAUAUUCUUUCUUCUCCUAAUAUUCUAUGCCUUUUAUAUUAGGGAAGUAGAUAAUAAUAUAUAAUGAUAACAUUGGCAGAUGUAAUAAUGCUUGUAGGGAAUGAAAGCAGAAAAUGCAAUAUUAAUGUUUAAAGCGCUAAAGAAAUGGACGGCAAACAUGAUAGAGGCAAUGACUAUGACACAAUAACAGAAAUAUAGUAGUUUUAAAAGCUCAAUGCUAAUGAUCAUUCAGAUUACGUAUUGUCAAUCUUUGAUUAGUUUUGGCUUGAGAGAUUUUUAGCCAUUUUGGUUAUCAAGAGUGUGGCUCUCCUAAAUGAAAAGCCCAAAUGAGUGAAUACAAGAAUAGGUUGCAAUCUUUAGCUCAAAGAGUUUGUACAUUUGAGGGCUCCAACAAAAGAGACCAAGGUUUGUCGUACCAGUCAGUAUCGCACCAUACGGGACAUACUAUAUCAUACCGAUAUCAAAUCGGUAUGCAGUCUCGUACUGUAUAGACACUUGGUAUGUUUUGUCUUCUCGUACUGUACCGUAUACCGAUGUUGUAAUAGGAUAGGCUGGCACAGGAUCUAGUACUAAGACAACGAAUCUUGCAAGAAACUCUCCCACCAUCCACUAGAAAUAGAUUUGAGGUUUAUGACAACUUCAAGUAUGUUUUGAUGUGAGAACAUGAAUUGUGCUCAAAGCAACCCAAGAUUGCUGCAAUAAUUAAAUAAAUAAUGUGUGUCUCUGUUCUCAAUAGAAGCAAACAUAAAGAAACUAUUUGACUUUCAGCAACAAGGGAGCACAAGAUCCAUAGAGUAAUGAACAAGUUAAUCAGUGAAUGUCUAAUGGGCAUCCAAUUCUAACCUCAAUUUGCAGGAUGAAUAGAAGGCCACAAGCAGUGAAUUAAGCAGAAACCAUUAUGGAAAGCAGUCUCAGGAACAUUAUGACAACAGUGUGAAGGCAAAAGUUCUGCCUAUCUUUGUACUGUUUAGGAUCUUGUCAGCUCACCU
rnacentral:lncRNA from 1 species